rnacentral:lncRNA from 8 species
CUGUUCUGUUUAGGUUAGUGUGUAGUCAAGGCUUUGUCAUUAGAAUUAUAUUGUGCCCAUUUUUCAGAUCUAAUGCAUCUGCUACACCGGCCACGACAGGUGAUACAGAUCUGCCACCCCCAGCAGUUCAGCAGCAGUCACAGCUGUCCUCUGCUACACCGGUUCCUACUACACUGGCCGUGAAGGGAGAAACCUUUGAGAAUACCUAGAUGGAUACAGAUCUGGCAUGCACUAGACCACUGCCUGACAGCCUCACCCAGAAGACACUGGGCCUAUCAAGACUGACAAAGCAGAGAUGGGCGGCUGACAAGGAAAAAUAAAACAGAACUUGCACUCACACACAUUAUCCACAAUGUAAAUAAGUUGUAAUUACUUGUUUAUUUAAUGUUUGCUCCAUUUUAUUUUAGGAUUGGAGAUAUCUACUCCUUCAUAUCCAUACUCAAUAUCCCACAUAAUUACUCUAAAUAUCAAUCAAAUCAAAGUUGAAAACAUGUCUCCCUCUCACACACACUAGACCAAAUGUAAAUAAAUUGUAAUAACUUGUUUAUUUUAUGUAUGCUCCAUUUUAUUUGAGGAAAAUAUCUGCAAUAAAGUACAUUCACAGUUAAAGCAAUGGCUUUGAUUUAUUGGAUAUUUCUCUGAAUACAUUGUGUGACCAGAAGGAAGUCGGCAGACCUGCAACCCUUGGACUGUGUAGGUUUUGUCAUCUGGAGCUGAAAAAUAGAGAGAUGGGGAGGAAGAGUGCAGUUUAAAGGUUUAUCAUUAAUAACUGACACAAUGCUAGA